rnacentral:rRNA from 1 species
UACGAAGGGGGGCUAGCGUUGUUCGGAAUUACUGGGCGUAAAGCGCGCGCAGGCGGUUUCUCAAGUCAGUGGUGAAAGCCCGGAGCUCAACUCCGGAACUGCCAUUGAAACUGUGAGACUUGAGGACGAGAGAGGUGAGUGGAAUUCCCAGUGUAGAGGUGAAAUUCGUAGAUAUUGGGAAGAACACCGGUGGCGAAGGCGGCUCACUGGCUCGUUUCUGACGCUCAGGCGCGACAGCGUGGGGAUCAAACAGG